AUUGAACGCUGGCGGCAGGCCUAACACAUGCAAGUCGAACGAGUGGCGGACGGGUGAGUAAUGUCUGGGAAACUGCCCGAUGGAGGGGGAUAACUACUGGAAACGGUAGCUAAUACCGCAUACCAUCGGAUGUGCCCAGAUGGGAUUAGCUAGUAGGUGGGGUAACGGCUCACCUAGGCGACGCUCCCUAGCUGGUCUGAGAGGAUGACCAGACAAACUGGAACGGAAACACGGGCAAGACUCCUACGAGAGGAAGCAGGGGGGAAUAUUGCACAAUGGGCGGAAGCCUGAUGAAGCCAUGCCGCGUGUGUGAAGAAGGCCUUCGGGUUGUAAAGCACUUUCAGCGAGGAGGCGUUACUCGCAGAGGAAGCACCGGCUAACUCCGUGCCAGCAGCCGCGAUAAUUC
rnacentral:rRNA from 1 species